rnacentral:rRNA from 1 species
AUUGAACGCUGGCGGCAUGCCUUACACAUGCAAGUCGAACGGUAACAGGUCUUCGGAUGCUGACGAGUGGCGAACGGGUGAGUAAUACAUCGGAACGUGCCCGAUCGUGGGGGAUAACGGAGCGAAAGCUUUGCUAAUACCGCAUACGAUCUACGGAUGAAAGCAGGGGACCGCAAGGCCUUGCGCGGACGGAGCGGCCGAUGGCAGAUUAGGUAGUUGGUGGGAUAAAAGCUUACCAAGCCGACGAUCUGUAGCUGGCCUGAGAGGACGACCAGCCACACUGGGACUGAGACACGGCCCAGACUCCUACGGGAGGCAGCAGUGGGAAUUUUGGACAAUGGGCGCAAGCCUGAUCCAGCCAUGCCGCGUGCAGGAUGAAGGCCUUCGGGUUGUAAACUGCUUUUGUACGGACGAAAGAACUACUUUCUAAUAAAGAGGGUCCAUGACGGUACCGUAAGGAAUAAGCACCGGCUAACUAACGUGCCAGCAGCCGAC